UACGUAGGGUGCGAGCGUUUGUCCGGAAUUAUUGGGCGUAAAGGGCUCGUAGGCGGUCUGUUGCGUCGGGAGUGAAAACUCAGGGCUUAACCCUGAGCCUGCUUCCGAUACGGGCAGACUAGAGGUAUGCAGGGGAGAACGGAAUUCCUGGUGUAGCGGUGAAAUGCGCAGAUAUCAGGAAGAACACCCGUGGCGAAAGCGGCUCUCUGGAACGGUACUGACGCUGAGACGCGAAAGCGUGGGGAGCGAACAGG
rnacentral:rRNA from 1 species